UGGCGGACGGGUGAGUAACGCGUGGUAACCUGCCCUGUACAGGGGGAUAACAGUCAGAAAUGACUGCUAAUACCGCAUAAGACCACAGCACCGCAUGGUGCAGGGGUAAAAACUCCGGUGGUACAGGAUGGACCCGCGUCUGGUUAGCUGGUUGGUGAGGUAACGGCUCACCAAGGCGACGAUCAGUAGCCGGCUUGAGAGAGUGAACGGCCACAUUGGGACUGAGACACGGCCCAAACUCCUACGGGAGGCAGCAUG
rnacentral:rRNA from 1 species